rnacentral:rRNA from 1 species
AGUGAACGCUGGCGGCAGGCCUAACACAUGCAAGUCGAACGGGACCUCAGUAAGAGGUUGCUCUCACGUGUGGCGAGUGGCGGACGGUUGAGGAAUACUCCGGAAUCUACUUUUUCGUGGGGGAUAAUGUAGGGUAACUUACGCUAAUACCGCAUACGACCUAUUGGUGUAAGCAGGGGCUCUUCUGACCUUGUGCGAUUGUAUGAGCCGAUGUCGGAUUAGCUAGAUAGCGGGUUAAAGGCCCACCAAGGCGACUAUCCGUAGCUGGUCUGAGCGGAUGGUCAGCCAGAUGGGAAGUGAGACAGAGUACAGACUCCAACGGUGGGAAACAGUGGGGAAUAUUAAAGAAUGGGGGCAAGCCGGAUCCAGCCAGACCGCGUGGAUGAUGAAGCCGUUCUGGUUGUUGAGCCCUUAUGUUGGGAGGGAAAAGCAGCACGUUAAUACCCCGCUGUUCUGACGGUACCCAAAGAAUAAGCACCGGCUAACUUCGUG